CGCGUAGGCGGUGAUAUAAGUCUGGGGUGGAAUUCUGCAGCUUAACUGCGGGACUGCCCUGGAAACUGCAUUGCUUGAGUCGGACAGGGGAAGGCGGAAUUCCAGGUGUAGCGGUGAAAUGCGUAGAUAUCUGGAGGAAGGCCUGUGGUGAAGACGGCCUUCUGGGUCUUGACUGACGCUGAGGCGCGAAAGCGUGGGGAGCAAACAGGAUUAGAUACCCUGGUAGUCCACGCCCUAAACGGUGGGUACUAGGUGUGGGGCCCGUACGGGUUCUGUGCCGCAGGGAAACCAUUAAGUACCCCGCCUGGGGAGUACGGCCGCAAGGUUGAA
rnacentral:rRNA from 1 species